GGAUGUAGCCGAGUGGAUAAAGGCGCUUGACUUGGGCUCAAGAGAUCGCAGGUUCGAUUCCUGUCAUU
rnacentral:tRNA from 1 species